CAGUCGCCGCGGUAACACAGAGGGUGCAAGCGUUAAUCGGAAUUACUGGGCGUAAAGCGCGCGUAGGUGGUUUGUUAAGUUGGAUGUGAAAGCCCCGGGCUCAACCUGGGAACUGCAUCCAAAACUGGCAAGCUAGAGUACGGUAGAGGGUGGUGGAAUUUCCUGUGUAGCGGUGAAAUGCGUAGAUAUAGGAAGGAACACCAGUGGCGAAGGCGACCACCUGGACUGAUACUGACACUGAGGUGCGAAAGCGUGGGGAGCAAACAGGAUUAGAUACCCCUGUAGUCCCUGUCUCUUAUAC
rnacentral:rRNA from 1 species